AGACCGACCUUGCUUUGCUACGCCAUGCUAUAAUGGAGGGACGUGCGUUGAGAGUGGAGCAAACUACACGUGCACUUGUAUCCAUGGUUACGACCCCGCCUCAGAUUGCCGGUCAACGAUUGACUUUUAUCUUAGAAACCCUUGUCCCCAUACUAAAGUUUGCUUACCUCACCUCGGGGGUUUCACAUGCGUGUACACGGCAGGAUUUACUGGAACAGAUUGUACUUCUGGUAAUGAAUAACUUACAGUUUUGCACUUAGCUACCUUACCUUACCUACCGUACCUUAACUUCGCAUAUUAGAAUGUACAAAUGUAUUUUGUUGUUACUUUUCAAACUCAGAUAUUGACGAAUGCGCAAGUUCACCAUGUAUCCAUGGCAACUGUUCCGAUAACGUCAAUGGCUACCGAUGUCUGUGUGAUUCAGGAUAUGCAGGCCUUCAUUGUGAAUCAAAUGUCGAUGAGUGUGCCAGCUCACCGUGUAUCCAUGGGAACUGCACUGAUGACGUCAAUAGUUUUCACUGCUCACGUGAUGUCGGUUUCAG